ensembl:lncRNA
AUCCCCAAAAAAUCCCCCAAAAAAUCCCAGAAUUCCCAGAUUUUUCCCGGAAUUCCCAGAUUUUCCCCGGAAUUCCCGGCUUUUCCCGGGUCUCCAGGUGGGCUACGAGCUGAAGGAGGAGAUCGAGCGCAGCGAAACCCCAAAAAAUCCCCCCCAAAAAUCCCAAAAAAAUCCCCCAAAAAAUCCCAAAAAAUCCCCAAAAUUCCCAGAUUUUUCCCAGAAUUCCCAGAUUUUUCCCGGAAUUCCCGGAUUUUCCCGGAAUUCCCGGAUUUUCCCGGGUUUCCAGGUGGGCUACGAGCUGAAGGAGGAGAUCGAGCGCAGCGAAACCCCAAAAAAUCCCCCAAAAUCCCCAAAAAAAUCCCCAAAAAAUCCCCAGAAUUCCCAGAUUUUUCCCAGAAUUCCCAGAUUUUUCCCAGAAUUCCCGGAAUUCCCGGAAUUCCCGGCUUUCCCCGGCUCUCCAGGUGGGCUACGAGCUGAAGGAGGAGAUCGAGCGCAAGUUCGACAAGUGGCAGGAGCCGCCCCCGGUCAAGCAGGUGAAGCCGCUGCCGGCGCCGCUCGACGGCCAGAGGAAGAAGAGAGGGGGCCGCAGGUACCGGAAGAUGAAGGAGCGCCUGGGGCUGACGGAGAUCCGCAAGCAGGCCAACAGGAUGAGCUUUGGGGAGAUCGAGGAGGACGCUUACCAGGAGCACCUGGGUUUCAGCCUGGGCCACCUGGGACCCCCAAACCCCAUUUUUCCUCCAUUUAACGCUGUUUUAACACCCUCAAACUCCAUUUUUCUCUCCUUAACCCCAUUUUCACCUUCCCAAACCCCAUUUUUUCCUCAUUUUUUCCCCUUUUCCCCACUUUUAACCCCAUUUUCCCCUCAGAUCAAGGAAGAAGCCUAGCAGUAGGACUCCGGCUUCGGCCUGGGACCCCCAAACCCCAUUUUGCCCCCUUUAAUCCCAUUUUUACCCUCCCAAACCCCAUGUUUUGCUCAUUUUUCCCGUUUUCCCCACUUUUAACCCCAUUUUAGCAUCCGCAAAUCCCAUUUUUUACUCGUUUUUUCCCCAUUUCUUCCACUUUUAACCCCAUUUUCCCCUCAGAUGAAGGAAGAGGCCUAGCAGUAGGACUCAGGCUUUGACCUGGGACCCCCAAACCCCAUUUUCCCCCCUUUAACCCCAUUUUAAUCUUUCCAAAUCCUAUUUUUUACUCAUUUUUUCCCGUUUUUCCACCUUAACCCCAUUUUAGCUUCCCCAAAUCCCAUUUUUUACUCGUUUUUUCCCCAUUUCUUCCACUUUUAACCCCGUUUUCCCCUCAGAUCAAGGAAGAGGCCUAGCAGGACAACCCGGGCUUUGGCCUGGGCCAUCUGGGACCUUCAAACCCCCUUUUCCCCCCUUUAACCCCAUUUUCACCUUCCCAAACCCCAUUUUUUCCUCAUUUUUUCCCGUUUUCCCCACUUUUAACCCCAUUUUCCCCUCAGAUCGAGGAGGACGCUUACCAGGAGGACCUGGGUUUCAGCCUGGGCCACCUGGGCAAGGCCGGCAGCGGCCGCGUUCGCCAGACCCAGGUCAAUGAGGCCACCAAAGCCCGGAUCAGCAAAACCCUGCAGGUACCUGAAGCCCCUCCCAGAUUAAUCACCCCCUUUGGAGCUAAUCACCCCCUAAUUAGCAUAAUUAACCCCUAAUUAACGCUGCCCAGAGGACGCUGCAGAAGCAGAGCGUGGUGUACGGGGGUAAAUCCACCAUUCGGGACCGGAGCUCGGGCAC